AUGAAGAAGACCACUUUUUUCGAGUGGAACGACAAGGCGGAUGAAGCUUUUCUCCAGCUCAAGAAGAUGUUGACCACUCCGCCUGUCCUGGCGGCUCCGACUCCUAAGGAGCCCAUGCUCCUCUACAUCGCCGCCACCAGCCCAGUGGUUAGCACAGUCAUAGUGGUAGAACGCAAGGAAGAAGGCAAGGCACUACCAGUCCAGAGACCGGCGUAUUACCUUAGUGAAGUGCUGUCUGCCUCCAAGCAAAACUACCCCCACUAUCAGAAGAUGUGCUACGGCGUACGCUUUGCCGCCAAGAAGCUGAAGCCAUACUUCCAAGAGCACCCAAUCACUGUGGUCUGCACGGCUCCGCUUGCCGAGAUCAUUGGAAGCCGAGAUGCAUCAGGCCGAGUGGCCAAAUGGGCCAUAGAUUUGGCCCCCUACACCAUCUACUACCAACCUCGCACCGCCAUCAAGUCACAAGCACUGGCCGACUUCCUCGUCGAUUGGGCCGAGACCCAGUACCUACCGCCAGCGCCAGACUCCACCCAUUGGCGAAUGCACUUUGAUGGUUCCAAGAUGCGCACUGGUUUGGGAGCCGGCAUCUUCCUCACCUCUCCCAAAGGCGAUAAGCUCAGAUAUGUGCUGCAAAUUCACUUUGCCGCCUCCAACAACGUCGCUAAAUACGAAGCACUCAUUCACGGGCUCCGACUUGCUAAGGAACUCGGCAUUCGCCGGAUCCUGUGUUAUGGUGACUCCGACUUGGUGGUCCAGCAGUCGUCAGGCGACUGGGACGCUAAGGAUGCAAACAUGGCGAGCUACCGCUUCCUCGUACAGCAACUCAGCGGAUACUUUGAAGGGUGCGAGUUUCUCCAUGUGCCAAGGAAUGUGAAUGAGCAAGCAGAUGCCUUGGCACGGAUCGGCUCCACCCGGCAAGCAAUACCAACCGGCGUCGCCCUACAACGCCUCCUCAAGCCGUCUGUCAAGCCAUCGCCAGAGUCAGAUUCCAUCUUUGUGUCGGCUCCUCCUAAAGCAGUCGGAUCCGACUUGAGGACCCCAGCAGCCGGCACGAGGAAUUCGGCAGGCGACCCGGGGACUGCAGCAGCCGCACCCGGCCUAGGGACUUCAGAGCCUGGCUCGGGGACUGCAGCAGUCGGCCCGAGGACUUCAUCGACUCUGCAAGCGGCAGAUGACUCCAACCCGCCGCCUCCCGGCCCAACCGCCCUCGUGCAAGUAGCAGUCUUAGCAAUUGAAGAGAUCGCAGCACCUUCAUGGGCCAAGCCCAUCCUCAACUUCCUGGUGAACAAAGAACUGCUGACUGACAAGAUCUCGGCCCGGCAAGUGGAACGCCGAGCAGCAGCAUACACCAUAGUUAACAGAGAGCUUGUAAGGCGCAGUGUCACCGGCGUCUACCAGCGCUGCGUAGAGCCAGAGCAAGGCCAAGAAAUCCUCAAAGAUAUCCAUCAAGGCGAGUGUGGUCACCACGCGGCUUCAAGAGCACUUGUUGCCAAAGCUUUCCGCCAUGGUUUUUUCUGGCCGACUGCCCUAGAAGAUGCCAAAGACUUGGUCUAG
rnacentral:rRNA from 1 species